UACGGUAGGAGGCAAGCGUUGUCCGGAAUUACUGGGCGUAAAGCGCGUGUAGGCGGUCUGAAUAGUCUGCUGUGAAAGCGCCUGGCUUAACCGGGCGAGGUCGGCGGAAACUCUCAGACUGGAGGCCGGUAGAGGGGGGUGGAAUUCCCGGUGUAGUGGUAGAAAUGCGUAGAGAUCGGGAGGAACACCUGUGGCGAAGGCGGCCCCCUGGGCCGCGCCUGACGCUGAGACGCGAAGGCUAGGGGAGCGAACGGG
rnacentral:rRNA from 1 species